rnacentral:lncRNA from 1 species
AUUUGCAGUUGCAUUGCUGCUGCCUGCUAGCAGCAUUCCAUGGUUUUAAACAGAUGCAGGGUACUUCGUCAUUGAUUUAUUUGUGUUUUUAGGUAAACUUCUGAUUAAGCUAAACAUACAAGAUUAUUAUGUUUACAGAAGAAUAAACUAUGCUUUACACAUCAUAUACUGAGCUUUUUUUUCAAGAGUUUCCCAAUUCUUGAAGAACAUUUCAUUGGACUUUAGAUGACUUGUUAUGCUAUAUCUUGCUCAAGGUAGUUCUCAAAUCAUGUUAGCUUCUAUUAUGCAUCAUUUUAUUCCUGUUUACUAAGGUUCACACACUUACAAUCAUGACAGAUUUUAUUCAUUCACCAUUAUAUUUCUGUUUGAAUCCCGCUUUUAUUUAUUCACCAUUAAGUUCCGUUUGAACCCUUCUAUUGUAUGCCAAAAUUUUGUUGAAAUUAUAGAAUUCUUUCAUUAAGGUUGACUUGUAUUUGGGAGACUUGAAGAGCUGUGGAUGUUUCCUUUUGGCUUCAGCAAGAACAG